rnacentral:lncRNA from 1 species
CAGUCAGCAACUGGCAAGUUCAACUGGUGUCUGUGGGGCGCCAGGCACAGCCUCUGUUAACCCUUUCACCGCCCGCCCUGAAGAGUGAACACCAUUCUGCUCCCCACCGAAGAUGGGAAGUGAACUCUCUUUCCUGAUAUGACAGGGACAGGAGAUACCACAAAGCUUCAAGGUCAAGCCCGUGAUUCACAGAGUCAGUCCAUAAGCGUCAAUGUCCACCCACUCAGCGACUCACUUACCCAGCGACUCACUUGCUGUAGCUUUAUCUUCCCUUCCACAGGUUCCAUAACCUUCCCAAACUUUGCCGGGAGCUGAGGACUGAGUGUUCGAACUCGUGAGCCUGAGCCGAGUGGCAUUUCAUUCAAAGCACAGCGGAAGGAAUGAAGGGGAAGGCUCAGAAAUGAAUCCUCCGGCAGACUCCGAUGACAGGGACAGUCUGUAGGGCCAGGCGGGAACCUAUUGGGUGCAUCGCAGCCCCGUUCCUAUGAAGACACAGCUGAGGCUCUUUGGCACUUUGUUCCUUCCUGUGAUGACACGUUCUUGGACGGUACGGUGGCGACCGGAUGUUGAGGCACCUGUCGUCAGGAAGUGGAGAGCAAUGCAUGCUGGUACUCAACUCGCUUUCACCUUUUCAUUUCAGUCCAGGACUCUGGCCAAUGGAAGGUGGUCACCCUCAGUCCUCAGUUAGUUAGGGUAGCUCUUCCCACCUCACUUAACCCAAUCUAGAAAGCCUCCUUGGACAUGGCCAGACCAUUGUGUCCGUGGUAAUUCAAGUCCUGUCAGGCUGAUAAUUGUUGCUAACCAUCACAGGAGAUAAUGGCGAAAGCGUCACAAGAAUGACCGUCCUCUUUCAUCUCGCCACCAAACGCUUUAAAGGGACUCGGUCCUUAGACAGUCCCUCAAGUUGGAGGACUUUAUGAAGGUGUGGUCUCGUGCUGGCCAUUCUAGAUGCCUUAGCUUGUGUCAAGCUGACAAAACACCAGCCAGCACCCUGGGCCAGGGGCAGGUGUCUGGAGAAUCAUUACCCACAGUUAGCUUCAGGUAGGUUUGGGGAAGUAGUCAUUUCUCAUUCCCUCGACUGAAACUCCAUGAGGCUGGUUGGAGGGACCUCUGCUGAGCUGUAAGGAGACGGACAGGAAGAGGCAGGAGAGGAACUUUUGGCAGUCUUUGGCUGUGUCCUGAUGGGCUGUCCUGCAUUUAACAUUUAGCUUUCUCUACGGCUUUCUAAGAUAGCUGCUAUUAUCUUAACUUCAUAGCUGACUAAACUGUGGAUUUCAGAGGUUCCGGCUUUAUUUUUCUAAGCCCACGCAGGUGAAAAGUGACAGGAUUGGGCUUUGAGUUUGUGCCACGUGCCUUCUUGGUACCUACACGUACAACUUAUGUCAAAUCACCGCUGUGUUGUUGGCGUCCGUAGGUGUGGGACCUGGAGGUGUGAGUACGCGGCUCAAGGCCAAUUCUUUGGGGUGGGUGUUUGAUUAGAUGUUUCUGCUGGUGAAGCCUCAGUCACGAUCACUUCCUGCAGUGUGCAUCGGACACUUCGGUAAUGCAAGCCACAGUGAACUCUGCGUGACCCUGCAGUCAUUUCCUCUUAGACCUGAGUGGAAGGCGUUUCUUUCAGUGGCUUAGGAGGACUGCUGUGGCUGAUACUGAAGACACAGUGCUGUGAUUGGUGCAAAUCCAAACCCUCAUUUGCAUACAAUGUUUUCUGUCAUUGGUGCAGACUAACCAUUUCUGGCUAUGUAAACACAUCAUUUGGCUCACUUAAGAUGGAUACCAACUCCUCCUAACCAUCCCCCAAUCCCAUGGUGCCUCUCCCAGUUUGUGACAUGAAGGCCAGUGAGAACUCUGGGAUGGUCUUUUCCUGCCUACUUUUAGUUGUGUGACUGAUCUGAUAAUGAAGAAUGGUGCAGUGGCACCAGCAGAGUGACAGUGAUGGCAAACACAGUGUAACCAUAGCCUAGGUGAUAGCUGAGUAGCCUAGGUGGCAAGGCCUGGAUGAUUGACAAGUAAAGAAGCACCAGAGAAACCAUUGUUGGAGAGUGACUGGGGUUGGACCAAGGAUGGUGGCAGAAAUAGAGAAGAUGAAGAGCUGAGGCUGGAGGAAGAUAGAAGGCUCUAGAGAGCCCAAGAAGAGAAUGUGCAGGCCUGGGUUGCUUCAAGAUCCCUGUGUGCUGCCAAGCUUUUAGGGGCAAGGAUCUUGGGCUUCCCAGGCUUGGAGGAUUUCAUAAUAGUUUGAUGUCAGGUGCUGGGGAAUCCUGAUGUGUGGGUGGGCUUGGAAGAUGCAAUACCAACUGAUGCCAAGGACAAAGGAAUCUUGACUUCCUGCACCUACACAAGAGCGGGAACACUUGUUUAGUGAUAGUUAACGGUCUUGUUAUCCCAAGCCUACAACAAGAACUUUAACACUAGAGGCCGUCACCCAUUCCUGAUCCUGACUGCCUACUGUUGCCCACUGUGGUUAAAUACCAGGAAUGUAAAAGUUUUGCCAACAUCAGCACUUGACGGUCUUCUCCUUGCUAACCCACAGUUUCUAUCUAAAUAGAACAAAAGGACCCUUGCCACCUGAUUAUGAAUGAGAAUAUUCUCUCUCUGCACUGUGUUUCCAGCACUAUAGUCACUGGUAGCACAUGGUUGUUGAGCACUAGAAAUGAACCACAAGUUAAUUUUAUCUCAUCUGAGUGAGUUAAAAUUCAUAGAACAUGAUUAUUGUAUUAGGUGGUGUGGUUUGACAUUGGAACUGUACAUAACCCAAAUGAAGAAAUGAAAGCAAUUCCUUGAAUUGCUUGCUGAUAGAUUGGAGCCAGAAGAAGAAAAGACAGUUAAUUUGAAGAUAGCUCAAUAUAAAUUAUACACCAAGAGGAAUAGAGAAAAGAUAAUGAAAAUUGAACACAGCCUCCUAAGUCAGCAGGAUAAAAUCAAGCCAAGGCAGAGAACAUCUUGGAGGGUUCUAGAUGGAGAAGAGAGGGAUAGACAUAGAGAGAUCCACAUGUGGUUCCAUCACAAUCAAAGAGGCAAAGGUCCAAAAAAUAGAGAGAAACUUCAUCAGUAUUCAGAGUUCCCAUCUGGGAAGAAGGGGGCUGGAAGACAUUGAAACAAAGUUUCAUGAAGUAUUGAAAAGAAAAGUCAGUGUCUGCCACCCAGAAUUCUAUACCCAGUUAAACUAUUCCUCAAAAAAUAAAUGGAGAGGCUGGAGAGAUGCCUUAGCUCGUAAGAGUGUUUGCUGUUCUUGCAGAGUGCAUUUGGAUCCCAGUAGCCACACUGGGUCCCUCACAGCUGCCUAUAACUCCAGCUCUGUCUUUUGGACUCUGAGAAAUUGCACUUAGAUGCACAUACCCAGACACAGACACAUACAUCAGAUAACUGAAAGAUAUUUAAGAAUAUUUAAAAGCAAGUAACUACAAAAUAUUGAUCUUCUUGUGAUGUUAUAACAAAAUACAAUAGAUUGUGUAGGUCAAGAAACAGGUUUAUUUUUCAUUGAUCUGGAAUCUGGAAGUCUAAGGUCAGGGUGCUGGAAUGGUUGUGUUCUAGUGAGGGCUUGUUCCCUGGCUUGUGGGUGGGCUGCCUUUUCAAUUCUCCUUCUCUAGACUUUUCCUUCUUUUGUGCUUUGUGCUCAUGUGUAGGUGUGGUGGGGAGAGAGUCCCUCUUCUGUAGCCAUACCUCUUGUUAGAUUAGGAUCUUUCUUAACCUUCAUUCCCUCUUCAAAGCCCUGUGUCCAAGUUCAGUCACAUGACAUCUGGGUUUAGGGUUUAAGCUCUGAUGGCUUAUGGCACAUCCAUAUUAGGAACUAAAUAUCAGUAAGGCCUUUUAUUAGUGAGGGGUUCUGUUGUGUUAUUUUUGUUUGUUUGUUUUUACUAUGACAAGAGAGCUCACAAAAAGCAUCUUAAAGGAGGAAGGGUUUAUUUUGACUUGCAGAUCCUUUGGAUACAGUCCAUCACAGUGGGGGAGGGGGGAAGCAUGUGACAGCAGCAUGAUGUGGCUGUGGUCACAUGCAUCCCCAGUUCAGAAGCAGAGAGAGUGAAGGAAGUGGGGCUGGACUAGCUCCCGCCCCACUGGGCAAGGCCCAUGGCCUCCCGUGAGGCUCUGCACAACCUUCUAAAACAGCUGCUCUGGGACCAAGAGUUCAAACCCAAGGACCUACAGAGGGCAUUUCAUAAGCUACAACAGCUCCUGUAAAUAAACCUUUGAAUGCACUUUGAGAGAAAUGCAGAUUCGGUAAUAUUCUUUGCUGUGUAUUUUAUGAUUCUGGUAAUUAUUAUUUCAUAAAUAAGUAAGUGAGGAGCUAAAUCAUGUUCAAGGAUUGCAUGACUCCAAAAUUACAAAGAUAUAAAUGACCCUUUCACCAUAGUUUCAAUUCAGUCCUAAUCAAAAUUCUCUUAGACUUAAAAAAAGAAAGAAAGAAAGAAGAGAAAAGAAAAGAAAAGAAAAGAAAAGAAAAGGAAA